rnacentral:misc_RNA from 1 species
CCAAGAGCAGGCGGCAGCCCAACCCCAGGUCCCCAAGCAAAGAUGCUGUCGUCUUCCACCUCCACCCUACGCCUCCACCAACCAACCCGCCCCCACCCGCCGGCUGCGGCCGCGGGAGGCGCCACCCACCUGACCUCCCCGCGGCGGUGGCGCGGGCACUCCCCGGCGCCCCUCCGCGCGCUGGACGCCGCCCAGCCGUUCGACUACGAGUCCCGCGCGGCGGGGCCGCUGGAGGAGCGGCAGCGGCUGAAGAUCGCCAUCGUGGGGUUCGGCAACUUCGGGCAGUUCCUGGCGCGCACGUUCGCGCGGCAGGGGCACACGCUGCUGGCGCACUCGCGGACGGACCACUCGGCGGCGGCGUCCGCGCUGGGCGCCGCCUUCUUCACCGACCCGCACGACCUGUGCGAGUGCCACCCGGACGUGGUGCUGCUCGCCACCUCCAUCCUGUCCGCGGAGGCCGUGCUGCGGUCGCUGCCCCUGCACCGGCUCCGCCGCAGCACCCUCUUCGCGGACGUGCUCUCCGUGAAGGAGUUCCCCAGGAACCUGCUCCUGAGCUCGCUGCCGCCCGGCUUCGACGUGAUCUGCACGCACCCCAUGUUCGGGCCGGAGUCGGCGCGCGACGGGUGGGACGGCCUGCCGCUGGUGUUCGAGCGGGUGCGCGUCGGGGACUGCCCCGCGCGCCGCGCCCGCGCCGACGCGUUCCUCGGCGCCUUCGAGCGCGAGGGGUGCCGGAUGGUGGAGAUGUCCUGCGCCGAGCACGACGCGCACGCCGCCGAGACCCAGUUCCUGACGCACACCGUCGGGCGGAUGCUGGCCACGCUGGAGCUGCGCUCCACGCCCGUCGACACCAGGGGGUACGAGACGCUGAUCCGCCUCGUGGACAACACCUGCAGCGACAGCUUCGACCUGUACAACGGCCUCUUCAUGUACAACAAGAACUCCACCGAGCUGCUCAACCGCCUCGAGUGGGCCAUGGACUCCGUCAAGAAGAGGCUCUUCGACGGCCUCCACGACGUGCUCCGGAAGCAGCUCUUCGAGGGCUCCCCGCACGCCCCCAACGUCUCCUCCUCCUCCUCCAACGUGCGCAAGUAGCCAUCCUCCCAAUGUCAUAUGUUUAUUAGUAAAAAGUAAAAGAUCCAGCCCCAAUUCUCCUUCUCUUCUCCGACCACCACCGUGCUUGCCUGCCGCUCAUGUCACGGUCGACAGCCUGUAUCUGUAUCUGUUAUUGGGAAUUUGGCAGCUGGCCGUUGGGAUUUGUGAUAUGGUGAUGUAGAGAAUGAAUAAAGCGGCAGUCUUUGUGCAUUGCGAGUUCCUGAUAGCAGGACGAGGGAAGAUCAGAAGCAACCUCAAAU